rnacentral:rRNA from 1 species
UAGUCCACGCCGUAAACGAUGUGUGCUAGACGUCGGGUGUUCAGCAUUCGGUGUCGGAGCUAACGCAUUAAGCACACCGCCUGGGGAGUACGGCCGCAAGGUUAAAACUCAAAGGAAUUGACGGGGACCCGCACAAGCGGUGGAGCAUGUGGUUUAAUUCGACGCAACGCGAAGAACCUUACCUGGAUUUGACAUCCUCUGAUACCCAUGGAAACAUGGUUUUCUCUGCUUGCAGAGACAGAGUGACAGGUGCUGCAUGGCUGUCGUCAGCUCGUGUCGUGAGAUGUUGGGUUAAGUCCCGCAACGAGCGCAACCCUUGUUUUAGUUGCUAUUAUUAAGUUAAGCACUCUAGAAAUACUGCCUCGGUUAACGGGGAGGAAGGUGGGGAUGACGUCAAGUCCUCAUGGCCUUUAUAUCCAGGGCUACACACGUGCUACAAUGGACUGUACAAAGGGUCGCCACUUCGCGAGAAGGAGCUAAUCCCAAAAAGCAGUUCUCAGUUCGG